GCCAGAAUACCGGAGCCGGGAUUGGCUCUUCUGCGGCUGUGUUCGCUUUGCCCGCUGAUUGGCUUUGGCAAAGAAGGGCGUGCUGUGAUUGACGGCGGCUAAGAUGGCGGCGCCCAUGAUUAUUCCGGAUACAGGAAGCAUCCGAAAGGCAGUGUCCCUCAUCAAUGCGAUAGACACAGGCAAGUUCUCUCGUCUGCUUUCCCGCAUACUUCAAAAGCUUCACUUAAAGGCUGAAAGUACUUUCACAGAAGAAGAAGAAGAAAAACUUCAAGCUGCAUUCUUAGUAGAAAAGCAAGAUCUCCAUUUAGUCCUUGAAACCAUAACAUUUAUUUUGGAACAGGCUGUAUACCACAAUUUGAAGCCAACCAUUCUGAAACAACAAUUAGAGCAUUUCAACUUGAAUCCUGAUAAAGUAGAAGUAUUGGCUACUGCAUGGGCUGCUUCAGGUCCAGAGGUGGUAGAAAAGUUCAGGCAGAGGAUUCUGUCUCCUCAUAAGCUUGAUUCAGUUGGAUGGCAGCUUAACCUUCAGAUGGCUCAGUCCACCCAAGCCAAGCAAAAAUCUCCUAAAGCUGUAUUAGAACUUGGAAUAACCAAUGAAGACUCAAAGCUCUGUGCGAAGCAAGUAUAAAAGUUGGGUCAUUUGCAGUAUUUCCCAGUUUGUUUGAAUCUAUUUGGGUGCCAUUUCCAAGAUGGAGCCUCCGAUGGCGCAGGGUGUUAAAGCGCUGAGCUGCUGAACUUGCAGACCGAAAGGUCGCAGGUUUGAAUCCGAAGAGUGGAGUGAGUGCCCGCUGUUAGCUCCAGCUUCUGCCAACCUAGCAGUUUGAAAACAUGCAAAUAAUAUGGAGAAAGUGUUUGUGGAAUUCAGUCAUGAGGAACUGUUUGAAUUCUAUAACAAGUUGGAGUCUAUACAAGCACAGCUGGAUUCUCUUACCUGAUGCUGUGUAAAGGCUGCUUUUGCCAUCACAUUCCUGCCACUUCAAUAUUGAAGACAGAUUGACUGACAGACUUUGCUGAAAUACUCAGUUGGUUGCUGCCUGAAAAUUACUUAUAUGUUCUUUGACCCCUAUCAGCCAAAUGAAGUCCUAGUUGAGAAAACAGAAGUUUUCAUGGCCUUUUUCAUUUUUCAGAGUGUACAAUAUUUCAAUUUUACACCAUGAAGAUUGGGAAGAAUAUUUUGCUGUUCUUAGUAAUAUUUUGAAAUGUGUACUGUUUCGUUAUAGGGUCUCUUUUUGGGAGGGGGGGGUGAGAAGACAACAAUGUAUAAUUAUGGAAUACCAUAAAUAAAAUGUAUACUGAUAUUGUUGAAAUAAUUGAAAGAUAUAUUGCUUUCUAAACAGUAGAAAACUAAAGUAUAAUUUUGGCUUCUAAUGACAUCAUACUGUUUAAAAAAGUAAAAUAAACAUUCUUUAUUUGAA